AAGCGCGCUGUCCAGCGGGUUUCCACGCUGUCCGGACAACAUCAUCAUCCUCAUCCUCAUCCUUGCUUCCCAGGACACAGCGGGCAUCCACCUCAUGGUGUCACGAUUGAACCUUUGCAGCUGCAUGGAGCUCCAGCUUGAGCUCAUCUUUGCCCCCGGCCAUGUAGAGGUGUCCCAGGUACACAGCACAACCAGCGCUCUCUCUGGGACUCAGCAUGUGGGAGCAUAUCGACCAGGUAUCUGUCCAUUGCCACCAGACACACUGCACUCUGAGGGUUGUUCAAGGGUGCUACAUCUGUACUCCAGCUGUCUGUGUCUGGAUUGUACCUGCCAGGAUGGAAAUCAAAGAGUGGGAUGUCAAAGUGUUGGAGGAAGAUAAUAUCAGCUGCUGGCAAUAACAUUUUGAGAAGACAAAUCACAGAGAGAUGCUUUCAUAGAAACUCGGCUUUUUAAAGUAUUUGCAAUCUUUGUGCUUUGUGCUACUUUUAAAGUUUU